AUUGAACGCUGGCGGCAUGCCUUACACAUGCCAGUCGAACGGUAACAGGUUAAGCUGACGAGUGGCGAACGGGUGAGUAAUACAUCGGAACGUGCCCAGUAGUGGGGGAUAGCCCGGCGAAAGCCGGAUUAAUACCGCAUACGACCUAAGGGUGAAAGGGGGGGAUCGCAAGACCUCUCGCUAUUGGAGCGGCCGAUGUCAGAUUAGCUAGUUGGUGGGGUAAAAGCUCACCAAGGCGACGAUCUGUAGCUGGUCUGAGAGGACGACCAGCCACACUGGGACUGAGACACGGCCCAGACUCCUACGGGGGGCAGCAGUGGGGAAUUUUGGACAAUGGGCGCAAGCCUGAUCCAGCCAUGCCGCGUGCGGGAAGAAGGCCUUCGGGUUGUAAACCGCUUUUGUCAGGGAAGAAAUCCUUUGGGUUAAUACCUCGGGGGGAUGACGGUACCUGAAGAAUAAGCACCGGCUAACUACGUG
rnacentral:rRNA from 1 species